GGGGAAUAUUGCGCAAUGGGGGAAACCCUGACGCAGCAACGCCGCGUGAGUGAAGAAGGUCUUCGGAUUGUAAAGCUCUGUCUUCUCUGACGAUGAUGACGGUAAGAGAGGAGGAAGCCACGGCUAACUACGUGCCAGCAGCCGCGGUAAUACGUAGGUGGCGAGCGUUGUCCGGAUUUACUGGGCGUAAAGGAUGCGUAGGCGGAUAUAUAAGUGGGAUGUGAAAUACCCGGGCUUAACUUGGGUGCUGCAUUCCAAACUGUAUAUCUAGAGUGCAGGAGAGGAAAGUGGAAUUCCUAGUGUAGCGGUGAAAUGCGUAGAGAUUAGGAAGAACACCAGUGGCGAAGGCGACUUUCUGGACUGUAACUGACGCUGAGGCAUGAAAGCGUGGGGAGCAAAC
rnacentral:rRNA from 1 species